rnacentral:rRNA from 1 species
CUGGCUCAGGAUGAACGCUAGCGACAGGCUUAACACAUGCAAGUCGAGGGGCAGCAUAAAAGUAGCAAUACUUGGUGGCGACCGGCGCACGGGUGAGUAACGCGUAUGCAACCUACCUAUCAGAGGGGAAUAACCCGGCGAAAGUCGGACUAAUACCGCAUAAAACAGGGACACCGCAUGGUGAUAUUUGUUAAAGAAAUUCGCUGAUAGAUGGGCAUGCGUUCCAUUAGGUAGUUGGUGAGGUAACGGCUCACCAAGCCGACGAUGGAUAGGGGAACUGAGAGGUUGGUCCCCCACACUGGUACUGAGACACGGACCAGACUCCUACGGGAGGCAGCAGUGAGGAAUAUUGGUCAAUGGGCGAGAGCCUGAACCAGCCAAGUCGCGUGAAAGGAAGAAGGAUCUAUGGUUCGUAAACUUCUUUUGCAGGGGAAUAAAGUGCAGGACGUGUCCUGUUUUGUAUGUACCCUGAGAAUAAGGAUCGGCUAACUCCGUGCCAGCCGCAGC